rnacentral:rRNA from 1 species
UACGAAGGGGGCUAGCGUUGUUCGGAAUUACUGGGCGUAAAGGGCGCGUAGGCGGUACUUCAAGUCAGGCGUGAAAGCCCCGGGCUCAACCUGGGAACCGCGCUUGAGACUGGAGAACUAGAGUUCGGGAGAGGAUGGUGGAAUUCCCAGUGUAGAGGUGAAAUUCGUAGAUAUUGGGAAGAACACCGAUGGCGAAGGCAGCCAUCUGGACCGACACUGACGCUGAGGCGCGAAAGCGUGGGAGCAAACAGGAUUGAGAU